rnacentral:rRNA from 1 species
AGCGAACGCUGGCGGUAGGCUUAACACAUGCAAGUCGAACGGUCCUUCGGGAUAGUGGCGGACGGGUGAGUAACACGUGGGAACGUACCCUUAGGUUCGGAACAACACAGGGAAACUUGUGCUAAUACCGGAUAAGCCCUUCGGGGGAAAGAUUUAUCGCCUUUAGAGCGGCCCGCGUCUGAUUAGCUUGUUGGUGAGGUAAUGGCUCACCAAGGCUACGAUCAGUAGCUGGUCUGAGAGGAUGGCCAGCCACACUGGGACUGAGACACGGCCCAGACUCCUACGGGAGGCAGCAGUGGGGAAUCUUGCGCAAUGGGCGAAAGCUUGACGCAGCCAUGCCGCGUGGAUGAUGAAGGUCUUAGGAUUGUAAAAUCCUUUCACCGGGGACGAUAAUGACGGUACCCGGAGAAGAAGCCCCGGCUAACUUCGUGCCAGCCGCCGCCGUAA